rnacentral:rRNA from 1 species
GGCCAGUGCGGCUGCUUACCAUGCAGUCGAACGGUGAAGCACCUUCCUUUUGGUGGGUGUGGAUGAGUGGCGAACGGGUGAGUAACACGUGAGUAACCUGCCCCCUUCUUCUGGAUAACCGCAUGAAAGUGUGGCUAAUACGGGAUAUUCUGUGCCUGCUGCAUGGUGGGUGUGGGAAAGAUGCGCCUUUGGGUGUUUUUGGUGGGGGAUGGGCUCGCGGCCUAUCAGCUUGUUGGUGGGGUGAUGGCCUACCAAGGCGGUGACGGGUAGCCGGCCUGAGAGGGUGGACGGUCACACUGGGACUGAGACACGGCCCAGACUCCUACGGGAGGCAGCAGUGGGGAAUAUUGCACAAUGGGCGCAAGCCUGAUGCAGCGACGCCGCGUGAGGGAUGGAGGCCUUCGGGUUGUAAACCUCUUUCGCCAGCGAAGCAGGCCUGUCCCUUGUGGGUGGGUUGACGGUAGCUGGAUAAGAAGCGCCGGCUAACUACGUGCCAGCAGCCGCGGUAAUACGUAGGGCGCGAGCGUUGUCCGGAAUUAUUGGGCGUAAAGAGCUCGUAGGCGGCUGGUCGCGUCUGUCGUGAAAUCCUCUGGCUUAACUGGGGGCUUGCGGUGGGUACGGGCCGGCUUGAGUGCGGUAGGGGAGACUGGAACUCCUGGUGUAGCGGUGGAAUGCGCAGAUAUCAGGAAGAACACCGGUGGCGAAGGCGGGUCUCUGGGCCGUUACUGACGCUGAGGAGCGAAAGCGUGGGGAGCGAACAGGAUUAGAUACCCUGGUAGUCCACGCCGUAAACGUUGGGCACUAGGUGUGGGGGGCCUUUUCCGGGUCUUCCGCGCCGUAGCUAACGCAUUAAGUGCCCCGCCUGGGGAGUACGGCCGCAAGGCUAAAACUCAAAGGAAUUGACGGGGGCCCGCACAAGCGGCGGAGCAUGCGGAUUAAUUCGAUGCAACGCGAAGAACCUUACCAAGGCUUGACAUGUGCCGGUCGGCUCCGGAGACGGGGUUUCUCCUUGUGGGGCCGGUUCACAGGUGGUGCAUGGAUGUCGUCAGCUCGUGUCGUGAGCAUGUUGGGGUAAGUCCGCACGAGCGCACCCUUGUCUG